rnacentral:rRNA from 1 species
GACGAACGCUGGCGGCGUGCCUAACACAUGCAAGUCGAACGAGGUCCAUGAGAGCUUGCUCUCAGAAGACCUAGUGGCGAACGGGUGAGUAACACGUGAGAAACCUGCCUCGGAGUGGGGAAUAACUCGGGGAAACUCGAGCUAAUACCGCAUAUCUUCACAUGAUCGCAUGGUCGAGUGAAGAAAGAAUUUCGCUCUGAGAGGGUCUCGCGGCCUAUCAGCUUGUUGGUGGGGUAACGGCCCACCAAGGCAACGACGGGUAGCUGGUUUGAGAGAACGAUCAGCCACACUGGGACUGAGACACGGCCCAGACUCCUACGGGAGGCAGCAGUGGGGAAUCUUGCGCAAUGGGCGAAAGCCUGACGCAGCAACGCCGCGUGCGGGAUGACGGCCUUCGUGGUGUAAACCGCGUUUCAGCAGGGACGAAAAUGACGGUACCUGCAGAAGAAGCCCCGGCUAACUACGUGCCAGCAGCCG